rnacentral:rRNA from 1 species
UCGAGUCUUUGAACGCAAGUUGCGCCUGAGGCCAUCCGGCCAAGGGCACGUCUGCCUGGGCGUCAAGCGUUGCGUCGCUCCGUGCCAACUCCAUCCCGAUAAUGGGUAUGUCGGAUGAGGCUCGGAUGUGCAGAGUGGCUCGUCGUGCCCAUCGGCGCG